CAGGAAGCAGCUUGCUGCUUCGCUGACGAGUGGCGGACGGGUGAGUAAUGUCUGGGAAACUGCCUGAUGGAGGGGGAUAACUACUGGAAACGGUGGCUAAUACCGCAUAACGUCGCAAGACCAAAGAGGGGGACCUUCGGGCCUCUUGCCAUCAGAUGUGCCCAGAUGGGAUUAGCUUGUUGGUGAGGUAACGGCUCACCAAGGCGACGAUCCCUAGCUGGUCUGAGAGGAUGACCAGCCACACUGGAACUGAGACACGGUCCAGACUCCUACGGGAGGCAGCAGUGGGGAAUAUUGCACAAUGGGCGCAAGCCUGAUGCAGCCAUGCCGCGUGUAUGAAGAAGGCCUUCGGGUUGUAAAGUACUUUCAGCGGGGAGG
rnacentral:rRNA from 1 species